CAAAAAUACUUCCAGAAUGUGCAGAAAGGAGAUCUAAAGUUUCUCCUAAUGACCCAGGUGAAAGAAGAAAAGAAGCAUGAGAGUAAUGAAAUGGAAGGACCAAGGACGCUGUGUCACAGUGCUGCUGCAGGUGCUGCUGGGGCCACAGUUGAUGCUGAAUUAAUUCUACCAAGACCGAAGAGCAGAGCUGCAAACCAGCAGUUCCCUACUGCACAGAGUGAAGAACAUGAUAGGUAAGACCACAGCAAUAUGUAAUAGCACAUACCUGCUAUCGUGUGCUAAAGCGAACUCUUAAUUUGUGCUGAUGUACUGAUUAACAAGUCUUUUGGUUGUUUAUUAUGGAAUAUUCAGCCCUUCAUGAUUAUCAGAAUGAUGGAAGUUAACAACGAAGUACCAUUGCUUCCAAUUAUAAUAUUUUAUUACAAUGACCUGGUUGACAUUCUCAUGCACUGUUGCGAUUUGAGAAGAGGGCAGUCUAAAGAUCAGCCAACUUUGAGAAGGUAAGUGGGUUGACAUCUGGGAAGAGUGGAGUUCAAAGAUCGGCCCACAUUGAUUGGCCAAAGUUCAGAAGGUAAGUGGUAACUCAAAGAGCAUGUGUAUUCAAGUGAUACAAUUGUUUAUUGGUUGGUGAUUGAGGUGUGUUCAUUGAAGUGAGACUGUCUAACCGGCUCUUUCAGGAAGCAAGCAGCUGACACUGGUUAUGUGUGAGGCCAGUGGGUCAUUGAGUGAUUAGGUUUAAAACUGGUUUGAGUGGCUACUUAUUACUAGGGUUACAGGGCAGUCCUUUCCUAAAUUUGAAGCAAAUUCAACCAGAUGUUUUCUGGGUAAAAGCCAAUUUCCACCAAGUGUUCUAUGCCAAACCAAUUCCAUUUUUUUUUUAGAACUGUAGAGUUAUUUUUGAAGUUUGGCUCAAGGGUAGUUAUUGUAGGCCCUCAUAACACAAUAAUUCCCCUUGGGAAAUCCCAGAAUUUGUAAAUGUGUUUAGAUGUACAAUAGUGAUAGCCAUUCCUUGUGUUUA